rnacentral:misc_RNA from 1 species
AUUUUUUUGAGGAUAUUGCAUGUGUGGGGGGAUUUUGAAUGAGGGAAAAGACUGUUAAGUCUGAUGAGAAAUGAAGGUUAAGAUUGUACAAGGAUGGGUUGUGUUUUUGGGAAAGAGAUUUCAUCUUCUGAGACGCCUAGUGGGGAGGUUGUAGUUGGAAGGAGGAGAGAAAAUGGGGAAGAUAGAGAUUUGGCAGCACAAUCUGGGAGGAGAGAGAAAGUUGGAACUGUAAAUAAGGUGGAUGGCGGCGGUGAAGGAAGAGGAGGAGGCAGUGAUGUUGGUGAAG